rnacentral:rRNA from 1 species
GGCGUAAGAGCUCGUAGGCGGCUUGUCACGUCGGGUGUGAAAGCCCGGGGCUUAACCCCGGGUCUGCAUCCGAUACGGGCAGGCUAGAGUGUGGUAGGGGAGAUCGGAAUUCCUGGUGUAGCGGUGAAAUGCGCAGAUAUCAGGAGGAACACCGGUGGCGAAGGCGGAUCUCUGGGCCAUUACUGACGCUGAGGAGCGAAAGCGUGGGGAGCGAACAGGAUUAAAUACCCUGGUAGUCCACGCCGAAAACGUUGGGAACUAGGUGUUGGUGACAUUCC